rnacentral:lncRNA from 1 species
CUCUAAGAGAGUUUUCUGCUUGUUUGUCAUUCCUGAAUGACUUUGGUAAAAUCCAACACUCUAAAUUUAAGCUGUAACCUGGACCCAAGUUAUUAGUAGCUACUCUACAAUCUGUAUGAUCUGGGGUGAAGGAUCUUGGGUACUCAAUAAAAACAUUCUUAAUCCAGGUCCAAAAACAUGCUAAGGAAAAAGGCACUUAGGGGAGCACACUGCUCAUGCUUUUCAAGUGAUU